rnacentral:rRNA from 1 species
GACGAACGCUGGCGGCGUGCUUAACACAUGCAAGUCGAACGGUGAAGCGAGUGCUUGCACUCGUGGAUCAGUGGCGAACGGGUGAGUAACACGUGAGUAACCUGCCCAUCACUCUGGGAUAAGCACUGGAAACGGUGUCUAAUACUGGAUACGACCAACCCUUGCAUGGGGUGUUGGUGGAAAGAUUUAUCGGUGAUGGAUGGACUCGCGGCCUAUCAGCUUGUUGGCGGGGGUAAUGGCCCACCAAGGCGACGACGGGUAGCCGGCCUGAGAGGGUGACCGGCCACACUGGGACUGAGACACGGCCCAGACUCCUACGGGAGGCAGCAGUGGGGAAUAUUGCACAAUGGGCGAAAGCCUGAUGCAGCGACGCCGCGUGAGGGAUGACGGCCUUCGGGUUGUAAACCUCUUUCAGCAGGGAAGAAGCGAAAGUGACGGUACCUGCAGAAGAAGCACCGGCUAACUACGUG